rfam:Freshwater sediment metagenome lwFormaldehyde_BCIB9547_x1, whole genome shotgun sequence.
AAAGCCCGUCCGGUAGCGCCUGACCAGCAGCCGGAAGCGAGUUUUGCGUGGGGCGGGGCAACCCGCACUGCGAAGCGUAAACAGCGAGUCCGAAAGCCAUGCUAUUGAGCGUCGAAAGACCUUUCGUGGGAACCUUUGCCUUUCGAGCACCAAGGGCCACGUCGCGGCACUGUAAUGGUCUGGUGUCCGCGGUCCUGCCGGCGUCGGAGUGGA